rnacentral:rRNA from 1 species
UAUUAUAUUUAAUAUUAAGUUUAUAAUUUACUAAGGUAGUAAUAGAUAUAUUCUUGAAACCUAAAGAAUUUGGCGGUAUUUUAGUCUUUUCAGAGGAAUCUGUCCUGUAAUUGAUAAUACACGAUUUAUUUUACUUAAUUUUGUUAUCAGUUUGUAUACCGCCGUCAUAAGAUUAUUUUUAUUAUUGAGAAUUAAAUUUUCUUUUUUUUAUAUUAAAGUGAAUGUCAGGUCAAGGUGCAGCUUAUAAUUAAGUGGGAGAUGGAUUACAAUAGUUAUAGUUUAUUAUGGAGAAUUAUUUUAAGUUAAUUUGAAGGUGGAUUUGAUUGUAAAUUUAUUUUUAAUUUUUAUUUUGAUUUAAGCUCUAAAAUGUGUACAUAUCGCCCGUCGCUCUCUUAUUUAUAUGAG